CCUACGGGAGGCAGCAGUAAGGAAUAUUGGUCAAUGGAGGCAACUCUGAACCAGCCAUGCCGCGUGCAGGAAGACAGCCCUCUGGGUCGUAAACUGCUUUUAUUCGGGAAUAAACCACAUUACGUGUAAUGUGCUGAAUGUACCGAAGGAAUAAGGAUCGGCUAACUCCGUGCCAGCAGCCGCGGUAAUA
rnacentral:rRNA from 1 species